UGUCGGGUUGGGAUGGGGUGAGAUUUCAUCAGGCUACUCAGAACCAGGGGCAAUUUAAAACUUAUGAAUUGUUUAUUUCUGGAAUUUUCCGCUUAAUAUUUUCAGACGGAAGUUGACUACGGG